rnacentral:rRNA from 1 species
CCCUUAGAUGUUCUUGGCUGCACGCGUGCUACACUGAUAUUGCCAAUAUGUCAUUCUUAUCCGAAAUGGAUUGGGUAAUCAAGUAAUGAAAUUUCAUGCUUGGAAUCGGUAAUUGCAAUUUUAUCGUGAACGAGGAAUUCCUAGUAAGCACUAGUCAUCAGCUAAUGUUGAUUAUGUCCCUGCCCUUUGUACACACCGCCCGUCGCUACUACUGAUUGGGUGUUCAAGUGAGAUGCUUAGACCCUUGUUGCAUGGUUCAUUAUUGUGCUCCGAAAGGAAAAAGUUUCAAGCUUGAGUGUCUAGAGGAAGUAAAAGUCGUAACA